GCUGCAGAAGAAGCACCGGCUAACUCCGUGCCAGCAGCCGCGGUAAUACGGAGGGUGCGAGCGUUAAUCGGAAUUACUGGGCGUAAAGCGCAUGCAGGUGGUUUGUUAAGUCAGAUGUGAAAGCCCGGGGCUCAACCUCGGAAUUGCAUUUGAAACUGGCAAACUAGAGUACUGUAGAGGGGGUAGAAUUUCAGGUGUAGCGGUGAAAUGCGUAGAGAUCUGAAGGAAUACCGGUGGCGAAGGCGGCCCCCCUGGACCAGAUACUGACACUCAGAUUCGCGAAAGCGUGGGGAGCAAACCAGGAUUAGAUACCCUCGGUAG
rnacentral:rRNA from 1 species